CCUACGGGGGGCAGCAGUGGGGAAUAUUGGACAAUGGGGGGAACCCUGAUCCAGCCAUGCCGCGUGUGUGAAGAAGGCCCUCGGGUUGUAAAGCACUUUCAGUGAGGAAGAACGCCUGGUGGUUAAUACCCAUCAGGAAAGACAUCACUCACAGAAGAAGCACCGGCUAACUCCGUGCCAGCAGCCGCGGUAAUACGGAGGGUGCGAGCGUUAAUCGGAAUUACUGGGCGUAAAGCGCGCGUAGGUGGCUUGAUAAGCCGGUUGUGAAAGCCCCGGGCUCAACCUGGGAACGGCAUCCGGAACUGUCAAGCUAGAGUGCAGGAGAGGAAGGUAGAAUUCCCGGUGCAGCGGUGAAAUGCGUAGAGAUCGGGAGGAAUACCAGUGGCGAAGGCGGCCUUCUGGACUGACACUGACACUGAGGUGCGAAAGCGUGGGUAGCAAACAGGAUUAGAUACCCCAGUAGUC
rnacentral:rRNA from 1 species